CAUUGCCCCCCCGCCUGCUUUGCACCCCCAUUGCCCCCCCCCCCCCGACCAGGAUCCUAAACCCACUGCAUCUCUAACCCCGGGGAUGCCUCCCUCACUGCCCGGGAUGCAGCUUGCCCAGCCCUGGCCCUGAUGCCAUCUCCACCAUGGUUCUGCUCAGCAGCUUCUUGCACCUGCAGGGCAGGCGCUGCGGGCCCUUUGCAGCCCUGGGGCUGGGCAGGGCCCCCCACCGCAGGCUCCGGGCGUGCGGGGCUGGCUGCAGGCCCCUGCGGGUGCUGGUGGACAUGGACGGGGUGCUCGCCGACUUCGAAGGAGGAUUCCUAAAGAAGUUCAGGGCCAGGUACCCAGACACCCCCUACAUUACCCUGGAGGACCGCAGGGGCUUCUGGGUGUCGGAGCAGUAUGGGCGCCUGAGACCUGAGCUGAGUGAGAAAGCAAUAAGCAUAUGGGAGUCGAAGAAUUUCUUCAUCGAGCUGGAUCCACUCCCAGGCGCUGUGGAAGCUGUGAAGCAGAUGGCCAAUAUGGAGAACACUGAUGUGUUCAUCUGUACAAGUCCAAUCAAGAUGUACCAUUAUUGCCCUUACGAGAAGUAUGCAUGGGUGGAGAAGCAUUUUGGCCAAGAAUUUCUGGAGCAGAUUGUUCUCACCCGUGAUAAAACUGUGGUCUCUGCUGACCUCCUCAUAGAUGACAGACCGGAUAUAACAGGUGCCGAGCCAAACCCCAGCUGGGAGCACAUCCUCUUCACAGCUUGUCACAACAAGCACCUGCGGCUGAAACCCCCCAGCAGGAGGCUUCACUCAUGGACCGACGACUGGCGGGCAGUCCUGGACAGCAAACGGGCAGCGCGCAACCAGUUAAUUUAAAGCAGGAGCGGCCUGUGGUUGUACAUCAUCAGGCUGCCCUUGGUUCCACCCAAGGCACUCUGUGGCAUCCAGCUGGAAGCUGAAAACCACACAGAGACACCAGCCCCCGCUGAAGCAGUCCAUGAGAAGAGAUGCCCUGCCUCAACCCUGUGGGAGGGGAUGGUUGCUGCCACCUGGGUCCCUGUGAAUAGGACCGAACAACAAUUGUAUUUGAUAAGCUAAAAGCCACUGAGCCACGUGCAGCUGUUGUGGAAGGGGAAGGCCCUUGGAGGGACACUGAGCCCCUGUUUUUUGGUUAUUGGGUGUGCUCCUCACACCUGCUUCUGUGAUAUCUGUGGUGUCUGCUGUGAGGUCCACUGUGUGGCUGACUGAGGCACCCACUGCUCAGCCUGUGACCUGGAGUCCCACGGACUUGCUUAGCUGUGCCAAUGAGCUGAAAUCCCCUCCGCCUACACUGCUGCUGGGGCCCGGACCAGCAGCCAGCUCGGUCUAGCACUUACCCCAGGCCUGUCCUCCAGAAUGCGGGGGAACAGUUUUUCCCUCUCUCACCUCCCCACGAGACUGGCUUUUCACUCCUUGGCUUGCCUGCUGUCACCCCUCCAAGGAGACCAUCCCCAAGCAGCAUAUGGAGUGGAUGGUUUCUCUUCAGAGCUGUGAACGGGCGACUGGGGCUGCCUCCCAGGACCCUUGUUAUUAAAGAAGGUCCUUAGGGUUUGGGUGGUGACUCCCUGCCAGCCAAGACUCUGCCUAGCCCACCGAUAGAUGCCAAGGGAACGCCCUCCUCAGAGGGUUACUGUGCAGCCUUGCCAGCUCUCUGCCCUCCUAGAGGGGUAGAAACAUCUGGAAACAUGCAGCACAGAAGACUGACAAUGGCAGACAUCCAGGAAGGAUCAGCCUUCAAAGCUGGCAGGCUGUACGUAGACCCCAUGUUCUGGCUCAGCUGUGAUCUGUGUGGCAUCUGACAGCUACAUCCAUGUCAGGGCCAGGGACCCAUAUGAUCAGACUGGAGGGAGACUGGCCUAGCAGUGAUAGGCCCAGGAUGACGGCUCUGGAGGAAAGGUAUAAACAGUGACAGCUUCAGGAUCUGGGGGACGGGGUGACCCUGAAACUUCAAUCCAUCUUACUGCACUGCAUGGAAGUAGCCUGACCUCAGCAUGACCUGUUUUCCUGCACAGCCCGUCCUUAUUGCACAUGACAGUCAUGCCCAGCCUUCAAUUGCCCUGCAGUCUGGGUUGGUGAAAAACCAAGCUCCUACGACAGGCGGUGAUAUGACUCCAGGCACUGGGGACCUGCUGCAACCACUGCUGCUCCAGAGGCCUAAAACUGGUUUGGACAUGACCCCAGAAGCACCCUCGUAACAAAGGGGUCUACAGACAACCUGUACAUUUGCCAAUGGCCACCCUGGGGCUGAGGAAAGCAAUCAGAGCUCCAUCCUUGGUCAAGAUUACGCACAUCCUCAUUCAUGCUAGGGGGGAAGCUAAUCUAUCCCAAGAUUGAUUUCCUCAGGAGACAGAGGUUCCCCAAGCCCUUCACUAGCUUGAAGUCACCUAUGGGCUACUACUUCCCUUUCCUCCUGUGAAUUUUGAGGCUCUUCUUCCCACUCAGUGCCUGACAAGACACUGGCAGUUCGCGCGGCGUGCUCCAUUACUGGGAAACACCAGGACAGCUGUUAACUCCAGAUGGCAGCCCCUUGAGACGGCCCGGCCCAUUUUAUAAUGACUGGCGUAUCUCUUGCAGAUGUUCUGCACAGAAGGGUUCAUCAUAGCCCACAGGCCAACCCAGGCAAAUACAAGGAACCCACUUCCAACAAAGCCAGCGAAUAAACCCCGUCCCCAGAGAGCUGCAGAAGACCAGACUUGUGCUGGUGCAGUCUUGUAUUCCCCCAAGGGCACCAGCCAGCAGAACAACCUCACGUCACCGCAAGAAGGUCAGGUGGGUUUACUGCCUGGCUGACAGCGGGACCUAGAUGAAUGCAAGAAAACUCAGCAUGAAACGUGCAGAAACCCUCCUCAUGGAUAACUCGCAACCUGUUGCCAGGCAGUAGCACUGCAGACCAGACCAGCUGGAGAUUGAGAAGACCUGUUUGAACAUCCAUGGCCGGGCCCCGCAAGGAAGUUACAGCCCCUGCCUCAGCAGGGAAGAUCUCAGAUAUCCCACAGCUGGAGUCCUACGUCUCAACCCCAGGUCUGUUUGAUCACUGCCCUGUGGCUCCCUGCUGGAGACGAGCACCAAGCAGAGAGUUGCAGAGCAGAUUCUGUUUGGGAGAGGAGCUUAAAUGAUUUCCUUUGAUGUCGUUUUGCUCUGCAGCGGUUCUUCUCUUCUGCACUCCGAGCACAGAUUUCUAUUCCCAAGGCACAUGGGCACUGCCUCCCAAAAGGGGCCACAGUCUCUCUGGCUUUUAGCAUAUUGCACUUGGUCUUCUUGCCCCUAUAAGAAUCAUGGCUUCCCUUGGGCAAUGAGCAGAAGCUGUGGGUUCCCCAGUGCUGCCAGCGUAAGGACAGCUGUGAACAGAGCCAGGUGCUUGCAAACCCUUGUUCUUUGGCCGUGGUCCCACUUUUGAGUUUCUGUCUCUCCUUAACACAGGACACCACUUCAGAGGACAACAGCUGUGAACAGCCAGUCAAAGCCUGCAGCCACUCAGCAAGCCAACAAGCGGUUUCAAUGAUAACCACGCAGCUGGUGAGACCUCCAGAAGUGGGAGGUUGCACUGAACAAAAUGGUGCUUCAUAACCUGUGCCUUCCCUCAGUGAAUAACUGGGAAAGCCCCCCCGGGUCACAUCCAAGGAUGCACAGAUGGUCCCUGGGAGCCAUGAGAGCUCUCAUGGGGUCCAUGAUUACCUGAGAAGCAUGUGCUUCAGGUGGGAAGGGCUUUUUAAUUGUAAGCCACUGUGCUUGUGGGGAACUGACUGACACAGGAGCCAUGUGGGAUGCACUAAGAUGGAGCCAAGUGUCACUUUGCCUUAAAGGCCUGUAAGACCAUGGAGCUAAAAGACGUUGCAUCAAAACUGCCAAACAAGGUGCACGGUGCUGGAUCAGGCCGAGCAGCCGAUCUGAAAAGCCAGCCUGCAAGCAAGGCAGGUGGCACCCAUGGACUGCAGCCUCAGACUCCAUUCCCGCUGGCUUGGCAUGAUGUUUUGUCAGGGCACUGCUUAAACGUUGCUGUGUUCUCCCUCCCAUUCUCUGCCAAGCCCCUCAGAGUCGGGGAGGACAGAGCUAAUGAGAAGUUCCAGCUAUCGCAUCUGCUUCCUCCAUACCUUCUGUCCUCCCCCAGAGAUUGGGCUGGAUUUUGCGAGGGACUUGGCUCUCUCACUGGCUGGCAAUAUUUUUCCCCUCCUUGUAAGGGCAUACCAUCGGUCGUCAAAUCAGCGAAGCUCAUUCAAGCAGCUUCUCUUUCACGGUGUCUGCCCUCGAAAAUUGAGCAAGGUUUCUGUGCUGUCUUACUUAACACGCACAACUAACUGCCUAUAAGCUGAACUGUGUGGGUCGGAUUCGCAGCUGGUGUGAGCCAUCCUUUUUCCAGUGACUUCAGGGAAUCUCAACCAGUUUAGGUUUGCUCAGGAUCUGGCCCUUCAAAUCCCCAAAUUGCUUUGCUGCUCCACUGAGAUGCAUAGAAGCUUCUUUUUUCUUAUUUUUAAAUUUCAUCUGCCUCCCCUCUCCUCCCCCCGGUAUAAAAAACUGCAGAUCCGCACAGCAGCAUUGCAAUAAGGCUCUUUUCUGCUUUUCAUCUGGAUAACGUGAAAUGGGGUUUGGGUUGUGCAAUUUAAUAUCCAUGGCUCUGUACUCAGUGUCAUGAAGGGGAGAUUUUUAUCCCUGUGGCUCAGGAUUAGCUGGGAGAUGAGUGUUGUAGCACCCCCUACACGCCACACUCCCUAUGAAGAGACAUAGAGCCGGGAGGCCUCUGUGAUUUUCUGUUCAGCCUCUUGCAAAUAUUGCUCUCAGUAAAUAAAGCAGCAAAAUCCCUCUAGAUCAUCACCAGGUAGAAAACCAAUAGGCAGGCAGGGAGAGAUGGAUCAUAUACCAGGGAGGUCUUAUGGGUACUGUCUCCUGAUGAUAUGUGGAGCUGGGAGUUAGGACUGUCUGGGGUUUCGUGUCAUGCCCAGCGCCAGGCGAGCUGUCCGAGUACCUCCGCCACACACUUGCUGUAUGCCAUCAAGCAAGUCAUUUCUCUCUUCUGUGCCGCAGACUCCUCCAGACAAUUGGGACAAUACCACUUACCUCACAGGGCCGUUGUGAGGGUUAGACACACAGUGUCAAGCACCUUGAGCCUCAGGUGGGCUGUAUUCUGCAAUUUCCUCUUAUCAGAGCAGCACCUCUGUGAUAGACAUAGGAAUCAGACUGGGACAGGAAGAAAAGCAGAAGCAAGGGGAGUGCUCCCUCAGGGCUUCCUGCUUGCUGUUCCCCACGUUGGGAAGAGUUGGGUUUCACUCCAUGUGGUUGGGCUCCCCAUCAUCGAAGCCACGAGCAUCCUGGGCACUUAACAGCCUCCCCACUGGCUGUCUCAGCAGUGGCAACCUUUGCCCUGGCAGUUGGUAGCCAGGAUUACAGUGGAAACUCGAAGGAAGCACACAGCGCCAUGGCUGAAAUAUAUUCGCCCCUGGGCUCACCAUGCAGCACUAAAUUCACUUUAAUGAGAGAAUGACGUUUUAUUUUUUCUACUCCUAAUAGAAUAUGACAAGUUCCGGCCCAGCUCUGUAGUUUAAGCUGGAGAAGCUUGUCCCUGGCUAGUAUAGGGGCUCAGUUAUAACCAACCAGCAUGAGCCCAAGGGCUUGAUUCUCCUCUCACUUGUGUCAGGAGUGUCCCCUGACCUCAGAGGAGCUGCCCCAGGACAAAGUAGUGGACGGGAGAACCGAGCCCCAGGACCCUGCUUUUCCUGAUGUACAUCGCUGUAGCCGGUGGAGUGAGGCUGUAUUAGGCGAGUUCCUGAAAUCAAACACCGCUAGCCUAGCAGCUUGACCCUAUGGCAGGGCCUGCGUGCCAAAGAGCUGUACUGGUGCCUUGUCCUGGGGAUGUAUGCUCCACAGGGCUCACAAGGUUAACCAAAGAGCUUUGUUGGGUUUGUUUCUUGAGCUGGGGCAUGUGACUGGUGCAUAUUGUUGAAGAUGGAUUGGAGAAUGGAUGUCUGGAAAGAGCUUGUCUUUGUCUGUGAAUGGAUGCAUGUCUUUGUCGAUGUGCCGCAGAACAGUGCACACAAUAAACAUUUAUACAUCACUGGCUCAGGCGUGUCUAUCAACCCAGUGGAUUUAAGGGACCGCUUGGGAUGGAAAGGUCCGAAUAAAGCCUUGUCUGCACUACAGUACUGAGCACGUCCUCAGCCAGUGGUAGCAGAUCCCUCCAGGCAGCCAGCAGAG